rnacentral:rRNA from 1 species
ACUCCUACGGGAGGCAGCAGGGGGGAAUCUGAAACAAGGGGGGCAACCCGGAUCUACCCUGGCCGCGGGGGUGAUGAAGGCCCUAGGGUUGUAAAGCUCUUUCAGGUGGAAAAAUAAUGAGGGGACCAUACCAACAAGCCCCGGCUAACUCCGUGCCAGAAGCCGCGGUAAU